CACGUAGGGUGCGAGCGUUGUCCGGAAUUAUUGGGCGUAAAGAGCUCGUAGGCGGUGUGUCGCGUCGGCCGUGAAAACCUGCAGCUUAACUGUGGGCUUGCGGUCGAUACGGGCAUCACUGGAGUUCGGCAGGGGAGACUGGAAUUCCUGGUGUAGCGGUGAAAUGCGCAGAUAUCAGGAGGAACACCGGUGGCGAAGGCGGGUCUCUGGGCCGGCACUGACGCUGGAGGAG
rnacentral:rRNA from 1 species